AAGCUCGUAGUUGAAUUUCGGGAUUAGUACGUCGGUCGUGCCUUAGGUACGUACUGGUGUUACUGGUUCCUACCUUCUGACGAACCAUCAUGUCAUUAAUUUGGUGUGGUGGGGAAUCAGGACAGUUACUUUGAAAAAAAUUAGAGUGUUUAAAGCAGGCUCGCGCUUGAAUACAUUAGCAUGGAAUAUGAAAUAGGACGUUGAUCCUAUUUUGUUGGUUUUCUAGGAUUGACGUAAUGAUUAAUAGGGAUAGUUGGG
rnacentral:rRNA from 1 species